CUCAGUCGAUCGCUGGCGGCGUGCUCAAGAAAUGCAAGAAGAGCGGGAGUAGCAAUACUCUAGCGGCGAACGGUCGCGUAAUACGCAAGCAACCUGCCCCGAAGACCGGGACAACAGUGGGAAACCGCUGCUAAUACCGGAUGUGGCCACCGGGAGGCAUCUCUUGGUGAUUAAACCGAGCAAUCGGCUUCGGGAGGGGCUUGCGGCCUAUCAGCUAGUUGGUGGGGUAACGGCCUACCAAGGCGACGACGGGUAGCUGGUCUGAGAGGACGGCCAGCCGGACUGGGACUGAGAUACGGCCCAGACUCCUACGGGAGGCAGCAGUGGG
rnacentral:rRNA from 1 species